rnacentral:rRNA from 1 species
GAUUAGAUACCCCACUAUGCCUAGCCCUAAACUAAAACAGUUCACAAACAAAACUGUUCGCCAGAGUACUACUAGCAAUAGCUUAAAACUCAAAGGACUUGGCGGUGCUUUACAUCCUUCUAGAGGAGCCUGUUCUAUAAUCGAUAAACCCCGUUAUACCUCACCAUCCCUUGCUAAUACAGCCUAUAUACCGCCAUCUUCAG